rnacentral:lncRNA from 1 species
UUUCUUCAGGAAAAGGAGAAGCGGGCUUUAACCCCAUACCCCACCACCUCUCCCAAAGCAGGAUCAUCUCCUUCCAGUAGCUCCUGGAACUCACACCAAGAAAGACCAACACGGUGCUGGGGCUUGUUUUGUUUUAUAAGCUUGAGGUUGACGUUUUAAUUUUUGUGAUCUAUUUUGUUAUUUUUUUUGUGACGUCCUUUCUUACAUGUUUGCAUUGUUUAAAUAUGCUUGCAUUUUCUAUAUAAAAGUUAUAUUAGACGGACACUGCUCCAUCCUCACCAGAUGUACAUACUCCACUGUCUGCUGGGAAAACCCCUGGAUUUCGUUUUUAUUCAAUUACUUAAAGAUGACUUUCCAUUAAAAUAUAUUUUGCUACUAAAUAAGGUUUUUGCUGGGUAGUGCCAUUUUUCCAAGGUGGCUAUUGAACAAAGAAAAGAACUCAUGAACUUCCUUCGUAAUCCUCUGGCAUCAUACAUGAGCCCAUGUGGGGCAUUGAACAGUUAUGGUAAAGGAGGCCCUUCCUUUAGUCCUGUCUUGUUUGUUCAGUGUGUGACUGUAAAGGUUUUCUUUCUUCAUUAAAGAAAAGUGAGUCAGACUUAGUGUCCCC